UACUAGUUGAUAGUUUGUUAAGAUACAGAUUAUAUUAUUUGUUUAGGUUUGUUUAUAUAUAUAUUGCUUGCUUAGAUACAAUUGCUUUGUUCUAAGAUAAGGUUGUGGUAUUA